rnacentral:rRNA from 1 species
CGAACGGGAAAUAUUUUAUUGAAACUUCGGUAGAUUUAAUUUAUUUCUAGUGGCGGACGGGUGAGUAACGCGUGGGUAACCUGCCUUAUACUGGGGGAUAACAGCCAGAAAUGGCUGCUAAUACCGCAUAAGCGCACAGGACCGCAUGGUCCGGUGUGAAAAACUCCGGUGGUAUAAGAUGGACCCGCGUUGGAUUAGCUAGUUGGCAGGGCAGCGGCCUACCAAGGCGACGAUCCAUAGCCGGCCUGAGAGGGUGAACGGCCACAUUGGGACUGAGACACGGCCCAGACUCCUACGGGAGGCAGCAGUGGGGAAUAUUGCACAAUGGGGGAAACCCUGAUGCAGCGACGCCGCGUGAAGGAAGAAGUAUCUCGGUAUGUAAACUUCUAUCAGCAGGGAAGAUAAUGACGGUACCUGACUAAGAAGCCCCGGCUAACUACGUGCCAGCAGCCGCGGUAAUACGUAGGGGGCAAGCGUUAUCCGGAUUUACUGGGUGUAAAGGGAGCGUAGACGGCGCAGCAAGUCUGAUGUGAAAGGCAGGGGCUUAACCCCUGGACUGCAUUGGAAACUGUUGAGCUUGAGUGCCGGAGGGGUAAGCGGAAUUCCUAGUGUAGCGGUGAAAUGCGUAGAUAUUAGGAGGAACACCAGUGGCGAAGG